CCUCGCACCGCCAGAACUUAAGAUGCAAUUCGUCAAGAAAUUACUGCCAUUCCACAUGAAAUGACCUGCCGAGUUAUUGACAACUUUCGUGAACGCCUUCGACAGUUUGUGAGAUCAGAAGAG